rnacentral:lncRNA from 1 species
AGGACUCAGUACCUUUAUAGGUACAAGGAAGAGAGAACAAUGAGGUCCCAUGGCCCAACACUGUUUCACUGGGGAUUAAGUUCCUAACACAGAAAAUUUGGAAGACACAUUCAACCAUAGGACUCCCCAUCUCUGAAAUAAUCACUGAGACGAAGAGGUGAGGUUAUACUGACACCAACAGGGGCAGGGUCAACCCACUCAAAUCAUGGCUUCUAC